rnacentral:rRNA from 1 species
UACGGAGGGAGCUAGCGUUGUUCGGAAUUACUGGGCGUAAAGCGCACGUAGGCGGAUUUGUAAGUCAGGGGUGAAAUCCCGGGGCUCAACCUCGGAACUGCCUUUGAUACUGCAAAUCUCGAGUCCGGAAGAGGUGAGUGGAAUUCCUAGUGUAGAGGUGAAAUUCGUAGAUAUUAGGAAGAAACACCACGAGGGUCGGCUAGAACGGCGGCCU